rnacentral:rRNA from 1 species
AAUCAACGCUGGCGGCGCGCUUAACACAUGCAAGUCGAACGAGAAAGGGUAGCAAUACCUGAGUAAAGUGGCGUACUGGUGAGUAACACGUGGGUAAUCUACUCUUUGGUGGGGAAUAACCCUGGGAAACUAGGGCUAAUACCGCAUAAGCCUGUAAAGGGAAAGCAGCAAUGCGCUGAAGAAGGAGCCCGCGGCCGAUUAGCUAGUUGGUGGGGUAAAGGCCUACCAAGGCGACGAUCGGUAGCCGGCCUGAGAGGGCACACGGCCACACUGGCACUGAAACACGGGCCAGACUCCUACGGGAGGCAGCAGUGGGGAAUCUUGCACAAUGGAGGAAACUCUGAUGCAGCGACGCCGCGUGAGCGAUGAGGCCCUUCGGGGUGUAAAGCUCUUUCGACGGGAACGAUAAUGACGGUACCCGGAGAAGAAGCUGCGGCUAACUACGUGCCAGCAGCCGCGGUAAUACGUAGGCAGCAAGCGUUGUACGGAAUGACUGGGCGUAAAGAGUGUGUAGGCGGUGUUCUAAGUCGGUGUGAAAUCUCCUGGCUAACUGGGAGGGUGCGCCGGAAACUGGAAUGCUCGAGCGUGGGAGAGGAGAGCGGA